UACGUAGGGUGCAAGCGUUGUCCGGAAUUAUUGGGCGUAAAGGGCUCGUAGGCGGUCCAUCACGUCGGGGAGUGAAAAGCUGGGGCUUAACCCCAGUCCUGCUUCCGAUACGGGUGGACUAGAGGUAGGCAGGGGGAGAACGGAAUUCCUGGUGUAGCGGUGAAAUGCGCAGAUAUCAGGAGGAACACCGGUGGCGAAGGCGGUUCUCUGGGCCUUACCUGACGCUGAGGAGCGAAAGCGUGGGGAGCAAACAGG
rnacentral:rRNA from 1 species